rnacentral:rRNA from 1 species
GACGAACGCUGGCGGCGUGCCUAACACAUGCAAGUCGAGCGGAGUCGAUCGACGGAAGCCUUCGGGCGGAAGAUGGUUGACUUAGCGGCGGAUGGGUGAGUAACGCGUGGGCAACCUGCCUCGAAGACCGGGAUAACAGCCCGAAAGGGCUGCUAAUACCGGAUGUGGUCAAAGAUCCGCAUGGAUUUUUGAUUAAAGGGGAAACCCGUUUCGAGAUGGGCCCGCGUCCUAUCAGCUAGUUGGUGAGGUAAAAGCUCACCAAGGCGACGACGGGUAGCCGGCCUGAGAGGGUGACCGGCCACACUGGAACUGAGACACGGUCCAGACUCCUACGGGGGCAGCAGUGGGGAAUCUUCCACAAUGGGCGAAAGCCUGAUGGAGCGACGCCGCGUGAGCGAAGAAGGCCUCGGUUGUAAGCUCUGUCUGGAGGGACGAAGGAAGUGACGGUACCUCCGGAGGAAGCCACGGCUAACUACGUGCCAGCAGCCGCGGUAAAAGUAGUGUGUA